rnacentral:rRNA from 1 species
AGAUGGCGGCCGGCGCACGGGUGAGUAACACGUAUCCAACCUGCCGAUAACUCGGGGAUAGCCUUUCGAAAGAAAGAUUAAUACCCGAUGGCAUAAUUAGACCGCAUGGUCUUAUUAUUAAAGAAUUUCGGUUAUCGAUGGGGAUGCGUUCCAUUAGGCAGUUGGUGAGGUAACGGCUCACCAAACCUUCGAUGGAUAGGGGUUCUGAGAGGAAGGUCCCCCACAUUGGAACUGAGACACGGUCCAA